rnacentral:rRNA from 1 species
AUUGAACGCUGGCGGCAGGCCUAACACAUGCAAGUCGAACGGUAACAGGAAGCAGCUUGCUGCUUUGCUGACGAGUGGCGGACGGGUGAGUAAUGUCUGGGAAACUGCCCGAUGGAGGGGGAUAACUACUGGAAACGGUAGCUAAUACCGCAUAACGUCGCAAGACCAAAGAGGGGGACCUUAGGGCCUCUUGCCAUCGGAUGUGCCCAGAUGGGAUUAGCUAGUAGGUGGGGUAACGGCUCACCUAGGCGACGAUCCCUAGCUGGUCUGAGAGGAUGACCAGCCACACUGGAACUGAGACAAGGUCCAGACUACUACGGGAGGCAGCAGUGGGGAAUAUUGCACAAAGGGCGAAAGCCUGAUGCAGCCAUGCCGCGUGUAUGAAGAAGGCCUUCGGGUUGUAAAGUACCUUCAGCGGGGAGGAAGGGAGUAAAGUUAAUACCUUUGCUCAUUGACGUUACCCGCAGAAGAAGCACCGGCUAACUCCGUG